rnacentral:rRNA from 1 species
UCCUGGCUUAGGAUGAACGCUGGCGGCGUGCUUAACACAUGCAAGUUGCGCGGUGAUCUCAAGAAGUUUCGGACGGAAAGGGAGAGCAGCAGCGGACGGGUGAGUAAAGCACAAGGACUUGUCCCGAAGAGGGGGACAACUGUGGGAAACCACAGCUAAUACCCCAUAAGCCGAGAGGUGAAAGCAGUAAUGCGCUUUAGGAGAGACUUGUGUCCUAUCAGGUAGUUGGUGAGGUAACGGCUCACCAAGCCGAAGACGGGUAGCCGGACUGAGAGGUUGUACGGCCACAUUGGAACUGAGAGACGGUCCAGACUCCUACGGGAGGCAGCAGUGGGGAAUAUUGGGCAAUGGGGGGCCAACCCUGACCCAGCGACGCCGCGUGAGGGAAGACAGCCUUCGGGUUGUAAACCUCUGUUGCAGGGGAAGAAGAAAGUGACGGUACCCUGCGAGGAAGCUCCGGCAAACUACGUGCCAGCCGCCGC